rnacentral:rRNA from 1 species
GAUGAACGCUAGCUACAGGCUUAACACAUGCAAGUCGAGGGAACGACAUCGAAAGCUUGCUUUUGUAUGGGCGUCGACCGGCGCACGGGUGAGUAACGCGUAUCCAACCUGCCCACCACUUGGGGAUAACCUUGCGAAAGUAAGACUAAUACCCAAUGACGUCUCUAGAAGACAUCUGAAAGAGAUUAAAGAUUUAUCGGUGAUGGAUGGGGAUNCGUCUGAUUAGCUUGUUGGCGGGGUAACGGCCCACCAAGGCGACGAUCAGUAGGGGUUCUGAGAGGAAGGUCCCCCACCAUUGGAACUGAGACACGGUCCAAACUCCUACGGGAGGCAGCAGUGAGGAAU